rnacentral:rRNA from 1 species
UACGGGGGGAGCAAGCGUUGUUCGGAUUUACUGGGCGUAAAGGGCGCGUAGGCGGUCAGCACAAGUCAGUUGUGAAAUCUCCGGGCUUAACCCGGAAAGGUCAACUGAUACUGUGCGACUAGAGUGCGGAAGGGGCAACUGGAAUUCUCGGUGUAGCGGUGAAAUGCGUAGAUAUCGAGGGGAACACCUGCGGCGAAGGCGGGUUGCUGGGCUGAUACUGACGCUGAGGCGCGAAAGCCAGGGGAGCGAACGGG